rnacentral:rRNA from 1 species
CAGCCGCCGCGGUAAUACGGAGGAUGCGAGCGUUAUCCGGAUUUAUUGGGUUUAAAGGGUGCGUAGGCGGGACCAUAAGUCAGCGGUGAAAGUUUUCGGCUCAACCGGAAAAUUGCCGUUGAAACUGUGGUUCUUGAGUGCAGAAGGGGUAGGCGGAAUUCGUUGUGUAGCGGUGAAAUGCGUAGAUAUAACGAAGAACACCAAUUGCGUAGGCAGCUUACCAUACUGCAACUGACGCUGAGGCACGAAAGUAUGGGUAUCAAACAGGAUUAGAUACCCUGGUAGUCCACACAGUAAACGAUGAAUACUAGCUGUUUGCGAUACACUGCAAGUGGCCGAGCGAAAGCAUUAAGUAUUCCACCUGGGGAGUACGCCGGCAACGGUGAAACUCAAAGGAUGACGGGCCCGCACAGCGAGGACAUGUGGUUAAUUCGAUGAUACGCGAGGACCUUACCCGGGCUUGAAUUGCAUUUGAAUACAGUGGAGACAUUGUAGCCCAGCAAUGGCAUAUGUGAAGGUGCUGCAUGGUUGUCGUCAGCUCGUGCCGUGAGGUGUCGGCUUAAGUGCCAUAACGAGCGCAACCCUCAUCACUAGUUACCAUCAGGUCAAGCUGGGGACUCUAGUGAGACUGCCGGCGUAAGCUGUGAGGAAGGUGGGGAUGACGUCAAAUCAGCACGGCCCUUACGUCCGGGUUGACACACGUGUUACAAUGGGGGGUACAAGGGGUUGUUACCCUUGGUUGGAGUGCUAAUUCUUAAAACCCCUUUAGUCGUGAUCGGAGUCUGCUACUCGACUUCGUGAAGCUGGAUUCGCUAGUAAUCGCGCAUCAGCCAUGGCGCGGUGAAUACGUUCCCGGGCCUUGUACACACCGCCCGUCAAGCCAUGGGAGUUGGUGGUGCCUG